GAUGAACGCUGGCGGCGUGCCUAAUACAUGCCAGUCGAGCGAACAGACGAGGAGCUUGCUCCUCUGACGUUAGCGGCGGACGGGUGAGUAACACGUGGAUAACCUACCUAUAAGACUGGGAUAACUUCGGGAAACCGGAGCUAAUACCGGAUAAUAUAUUGAAUCGCAUGGUUCAAUAGUGAAAGACGGUUUUGCUGUCACUUAUAGAUGGAUCCGCGCCGCAUUAGCUAGUUGGUAAGGUAACGGCUUACCAAGGCGACGAUGCGUAGCCGACCUGAGAGGGUGAUCGGCCACACUGGAACUGAGACACGGUCCAGACUCCUACGGGAGGCAGCAGUAGGGAAUCUUCCGCAAUGGGCGAAAGCCUGACGGAGCAACGCCGCGUGAGUGAUGAAGGUCUUCGGAUCGUAAAACUCUGUUAUUAGGGAAGAACAAAUGUGUAAGUAACUAUGCACGUCUUGACGGUACCUAAUCAGAAAGCCACGGCUAACUACGUG
rnacentral:rRNA from 1 species